rnacentral:lncRNA from 1 species
GAGUCUCCCUCAGUCCAAAUUCUACACAGACAUCAGCAUCAGUCUGCAUGCUCCCCCGAGAAGCUUGGACUCAGUUGCUCUGUUGCUGGCCGCCACAGAAUCCCGCUUUGCCUAAUGCUUCCAAAUGGCUUCCUUUGCCUCCAUCACAACCCCGGGGGAGCCCUCAGGGCGGGAUCUAUGCCUUCUUCUUUAUUUCCGCAUCUCCUAGCCCAGAGGCCAACGCAUGUUUAUGCUCAAGAGAUAUUUGUUGUGUGAAUAAAUUAAUACUAAGUGGGAAAUACAAAAACGAAGAAGAUGGAAAGACUAGCGAGGACCCUCCCCCCAACUGCCACCAUAUAAGUUGUGAAAAGCCCUUUCUGGAAGUUCUGGAGAAUGUCAGAGUACUGCCUACCCUCUGAGAUCCUGAAGUCUUAAUGCUUUGCUGCUUGGAGCCAGAGGAAAACUCAGUGAAUCACCAGAGUCACCUCCAACCAGCAGACACUGGAAAGCUGUUAACUACAUGGGUCAGAGACGGUCAAACCCACUGCAUUCAUCCAGACUUUCAAGUUCAGACUGCCCAGUGUUCUACUCUACUCACGCCCAGUCCCUCACCCUUUUUUUGAUUCACUAGCCAAACUCUUCUUUAAUGGCUCUUUAUGAUUUUUGCCCCAAAUUGUGAGAAAUGCUGUUUUAAAAUUUAUAUUUAAAACUAUCACUAAAGGAAAAAGAAUGCUUUUCCAAGAUAUGCAAAGAUUAAGCAGGCAGGUUCUAUAAAUCUGUAAUAAAUAACAAUUUGCUUUAAACAACAACAACAACAAUGACUCUUUAACAGUGCAGACAAGUCCAAGUCCAUCGCUCUGGAACUCUCAUACCCCCAGAAAAUGACAGGGUGUUUCUGCACCAGAGUAUGCACAUUCUUAGGAUUCCUUCUGUUAUAUGAUAUAUGCAUGGCCUCGGGGGACAAACAUGGGACACUCGAAGACAUUUGAGACUACAGCUGUCUUACUGUCACGAUCCCGUU